UACGUAGGGGGCAAGCGUUGUCCGGAUUUAUUGGGCGUAAAGAGCGUGUAGGCGGCCAUACAGGUCAGCUGUGAAAACUCGAGGCUCAACCUCGAGACGUCGGUUGAAACCGUAUGGCUAGAGUCCGGAAGAGGAGAGUGGAAUUCCCGGUGUAGCGGUGAAAUGCGCAGAUAUCGGGAAGAACACCCGUGGCGAAGGCGGCUCUCUGGGACGGUACUGACGCUGAGACGCGAAAGCGUGGGGA
rnacentral:rRNA from 1 species